UACGGGGGGUGCAAGCGUUGUUCGGAAUUAUUGGGCGUAAAGAGCGUGUAGGCGGCUUGAUAAGUCAGAUGUGAAAGCCCUGGGCUUAACCCAGGAAGUGCAUUUGAAACUGUCUUGCUUGAGUAAGGGAGGGGGAAGUGGAAUUCCUGGUGUAGAGGUGAAAUUCGUAGAUAUCAGGAGGAACACCGGUGGCGAAGGCGACUUCCUGGCCCUAUACUGACGCUGAGACGCGAGAGCGUGGGUAGCAAACAGGAUUAGAUACCCUGGUAGUCCACGCCGUAAACGAUGUUCACUAGGUGUUGGGGGUAUUGACCCCCUCAGUGCCGGAGCUAACGCAUUAAGUGAACCGCCUGGGGAGUACGGUCGCAAGACUAAA
rnacentral:rRNA from 1 species